AGUGAACGCUGGCGGCGUGCUUAACACAUGCAAGUCGAACGGUAACAGAACUAGCUUGCUAGUUGCUGACGAGUGGCGCACGGGUGAGUAAUAUAUAGUUAAUGUGCCUCGAAGACUGGGAUAGCCACUGGAAACGGUGAUUAAUACUGGAUACUCCUUCUAAUCAUAAGAUUAGUCGGGAAACGUUUUUUCGCUUCGAGAUCAGACUAUAUCCCAUCAGUUUGUUGGUGAGGUAAGAGCUCACCAAGGCAAUGACGGGUAGCGGGUUUGAGAGGAUGAUCCGCCACACUGGUACUGAGACACGGACCAGACUCCUNACGGGAGGCAGCAGUGAGGAAUAUUGCACAAUGGGCGAAAGCCUGAUGCAGCAACGCCGCGUGGAGGAUGACGCAUUUCGGUGUGUAAACUCCUUUUAUAUGUCAAGAAAAUGACGGUAGCAUAUGAAUAAGCACCGCUAACU
rnacentral:rRNA from 1 species